CUUUUUGGCUUAUUCUUUCCUAGGUUUCUCCAUCAUCUCACCUAAGAUAAUCUCCGUAUGCUGCUUUUGUUUUCUUCUAGAGACUGGACUGUGAAGAGAAUAUUAUUUAAAACAAAAUCUUGUGAAAAGUAAUGUUCCACAAUGCACAGGCAAGACUAACCGUUAUCUUAAGAGGAGCGACACCAUAUCUCAUUACAAAGUUCAGUACCAUCCACACGUCAGCAUAACAUCUGCCUUUAUGGUUUUCGAAAGAGAAGCAGUCUUGGAAUUAUAUGGACAGAGAAAGUGUCCCAUCAUUCAGACCGUGCUUCGGUUAUACCAUGGAGAUUACAAAAAUACAACCUACAAAAAUGUACUCUACAUCAGCUACAGCUACAUUUAACUAUAGUCUGCAGAGAAAUUAAUGUCAAGUGUGGCAACAGGCGUCUUCCACAGGAAUGCGAUAGAGGACACACUGGAGCCAGGACUGUUGAGAGUGCCGUAGCACUAGGUUCUGCAGCUUGGAUAACAAAUCAUAACCCGACAGAGCUUCCAAGUUCACGUUGACCAGCAAGGCCCUCAAAGAAAUUGAGAGCGUUCAGAUCUGAGACUAAGCAAAUGCAGAAGUGGAUGCCCAAAUACUUACUACCGUGGCCAGAACUGUGUUUAUCAGGAUAUUGAAAACUAGGAGUUUAAUCCAACUUUUAUCUAGGCCAAUCCAAUCCCAAAUGGAUGAGAUAAAUUAGCAUUUUUGCAGCUGUACGGUCAGUAAACCAGAAUGGUGUAGAAUGAAGGCUCAGGAAUGUUGUAGGUAAGGUAAUUGAUUGCUAAUCUGUGCUCUUUUAAUGCCGAUCCGUGGUGUUGAAGUAUCAGUCUCUAAAACGAUGUUGUUAAAGGUAACUACUGUUAAAGGUAACUGAAACCAAAAAACUAUUCUUUAAAAACAUUGUUGUGAUAUGGUGAAUGAUAUGUAUUCUUGCAUUGUUUACCUUACCUGUCAGUGCUCUGUGCAGCAGCAUGCACCACGUGUACUACAUUAUUUAGAAAUAAGUGUCUUUUCUUAGCUCCUUACCACAUUGUAAGUCAGUAUUAUCAGUUAUAUAUGAAUGGGGCAGAUCUAUGGGUAAUUAAACAUCUGCUUGCAUAAGCACAAUGAAAAUAUAUUUAAUGGGGCAAAAAGGCACAUCUACAAAAUACGUAAGCCUUUGCAUGAAGGUGUAUAUGUUGGGAUUGUUUAUGACCUACUUGCAUAUGUAGUUACUUGAUUUUGCAAUUGCACCGAUUUCCCCUUUAAACGGUGCAGCCAGUGAGCGCAGUUUUAAGGCACGUCUUUGUACUCAUGUUUGAAAACAUAAUCCAAAAUACAGAUGCAUGAGCUUCAUAUUAAAAUGCACUUUUACAAGCAUUAAAAUAAAUGCAUAAAUACAACUGUGCUCA
rnacentral:lncRNA from 1 species